CCUACGGGAGGCAGCAGUGGGGAAUAUUGGACAAUGGGGGAAACCCUGAUCCAGCCAUACCGCGUGUGUGAAGAAGGCUCUAGGGUUGUAAAGCACUUUCAGCAGUGAAAAAAAGUCGUAGGUUAAUAGCCUAUGGUCUUGAUGUUAACUGCACAAGAAGCACCGGCUAACUCCGUGCCAGCAGCCGCGGUAAUACGGAGGGUGCAAGCGUUGAUCGGAAUUACUGGGCGUAAAGCGCUCGUAGGUGGCUUUGCAAGCUGGAUGUGAAAGCCCUGGGCUCAACCUAGGAAUUGCAUUCAGAACUGCAUGGCUUGAGUACAGUAGAGGGUAUCGGAAUUUCCGGUGUAGCGGUGAAAUGCGUAGAUAUCGGAAGGAACAUCAGUUGCGAAGGCGGAUACCUGGACUGAUACUGACACUGAGGAGCGAAAGCGUGGGUAGCAAACAGGAUUAGAUACCCUGGUAGUCCACGCCGUAAACGAUGUCAACUAGCCGUUGGUCUGACCUCUUAAUCAUUUUUAGAUGCUACUUAAGAAUGAUUAAGUGGUCAGAUUAGUGGCGUAGCUAACGCGAUAAGUUGACCGCCUGGGGAGUACGGCCGCAAGGUUAAAACUCAAAUGAAUUGACGGA
rnacentral:rRNA from 1 species